rnacentral:misc_RNA from 1 species
CUUCUGUAUAAUGCCCUCCCACAUAUCAGGGGUGCUUCUUGGAUAAUGAACAGAGCCAGAAAACAGAAUUUUUCUUUGUCCAUUGAUAAUGAGAGAUUUCUUAUCAUAACUAACACUACAAUAACAAAUCUUAGACCCAAAAAUCAACACAAAAAAUAUCAAGAACCAUUUGGUAUUGAUACCCAUUUUGAUUUUACUUAAAAAAAGAAUAUGCAAUAUGCUUAUCUCACAACAAUGGUGGAGAAAGCAAAGUGGGAAAUGAUAAAAUGUGAAUAAAGAAGAAAGAGAGAAGGCCUGCAAAAGUGCAAACAAAAAAGGACACUGACAAGAAUUCACAAAAGGCUAAGAAUGUCUGUGACAGAUAAUCACACACACUGAGAAAGAAAGAAAAAAAGUAACAGUAUUUUGGAUUUUGUUACUCUGCAUUUGACAAUACUCAAUG